CAUGGUAUAAAGUGUUAAUGGAACCCUAAAUUAGUUUGGAUUGUUUCAAAUGGUUAAAUGGUAAGGUCUUGGUGGUCAUGGUUAUUGUUUAAUUGAAAUUCUUCCAGCGUACAUGGGAAUCCCCCAAGCAAACAUAAUAAUGAGCUCCUUGUGGGGUACAUAGGAAUCCCCUAAGUAGACUUAAUAACAAUGGAAUCUCCGGGUACAUGGGAAUACCAUAUUUAAAAAUGUUGGUUAAGAACAUUUCUUGCAAGCUG
rnacentral:lncRNA from 1 species